rnacentral:piRNA from 1 species
AGGAUGUAGCUCAGCGGUAGAGCGAC